AAUAAAGAUAAGCAACCGGAAAAGGAAGAAGAGGAGGAGGAGGAGGAAGAGGAAGGUGAUGCUGUUGUUGUUAAUUUACCACCAGAUGAUGCUUCAGUUGCUGAAGCAAAACCGGUUGGGCUUGCUGUUGCUGGCGCUGGAGGUGUUGCAGCAAGUAAACCAGUCGCGACAGCUGUAGUUGGUCCUGCAGGAUUAGCAAUAGCACGCCCAGUUGGAACCGCAAUAGCAGGAGUCGAUCCCGAACAAGCUUUAGUACCAAUUUUUGCUCAACAAUACGUUAAACCAUCGAAAAAACGAGGCGAAUCUAACAAUAAAAAACAAAUUUCUUCCAGCGAUCUUUUAAACAAGAUUAUUUCGAAAUAUCAUCAAAUAUAAUAAUUUAAAUUAUUUUUGUGUAAUACCUUAAGAUAAUAAUAAAGAAUUAGGCUUUG